UACGGAAGGCAGCAGUGGGGAAUAUUGCACAAUGGGCGCAAGCCUGAUGCAGCCAUGCCGCGUGUAUGAAGAAGGCCUUCGGGUUGUAAAGUACUUUCAGCGGGGAGGAAGGCGAUGCGGUUAAUAACCGCGUCGAUUGACGUUACCCGCAGAAGAAGCACCGGCUAACUCCGUGCCAGCAGCCGCGGUAAUACGGAGGGUGCAAGCGUUAAUCGGAAUUACUGGGCGUAAAGCGCACGCAGGCGGUCUGUUAAGUCAGAUGUGAAAUCCCCGGGCUUAACCUGGGAACUGCAUUUUGAACUGGCAGGCUUGAGUCUUGUAGAGGGGGUAGAAUUCCAGGUGUAGCGGUGAAAUGCGUAGAGAUCUGGAGGAAUACCGGUGGCGAAGGCGGCCCCUGGGACAAAGACUGACGCUCAGGGUGCGAAAGCGUGGGGAGCGAAACAGGAUUAGGAUACC
rnacentral:rRNA from 1 species